GUACGGGAAGGUGCAACAUAAAACAUAUUUACGACCUUGCUCGAUAUCUUCCUCCUUCUGCCGGUUUCGUUCGUGGAUUUGGUAGCCAGCCUUCUACCGAGCGUCAUAAAACAGUGUCCCAUCAUCUGGAUAUCGUGCCACAGUAAACGGUGACGAUGACGACGACGACGAUCAAGAGUGAUUUUUGACAAUUUUCACCGGAUGCUUGGUAAACAACAGUUUAACCCGUCAAUGCAGACGAUGAUGAACUGUGGCGUGUAGUGCUUGAUAAUACAGCAUAUUAAGAAGGGCAGCUUUGUAGCCUCUGGUAAGUGUUGAUUGAAAGUA